rnacentral:rRNA from 1 species
GGGUUGUGAGGUUAAGCGACUAAGCGUACACGGUGGAUGCCCUGGCAGUCAGAGGCGAUGAAGGACGUGCUAAUCUGCGAUAAGCGUCGGUAAGGUGAUAUGAACCGUUAUAACCGGCGAUUUCCGAAUGGGGAAACCCAGUGUGAUUCGUCACACUAUCAUUAACUGAAUCCAUAGGUUAAUGAGGCGAACC